rnacentral:lncRNA from 1 species
GUUUGAAAGCUGAACAGACAUGUAUAGAACUACAACGAAUGGGAGUGUUUAACUACUAAUGGCAUUGACCAUAAUGUUCUCGUACGAUCGGGAGACGUACUGUCUGACUAGACACGUUAAAAAAAUUAUCCAACAGCUGAUUCAGCCGGUAACGAAUUUCCGAUAUCAUAAAAGAUUCACAAAAGUCGAUUUGAAAAGCUCACUAGAGCUUGUGUUUAUGUAGUUUAUUGAAUAUCGACUCUAAAUAAAACUUCGAAUCUUGACAAUACAAAGGGAACUUCCUCUGCUUAAUUGAGCCCCUAAACAUGGUAAAUAAAAGUGAUUAGUUAACUUUUAAUUAAAAUUACCGAAAGCAAAGUUUCAUAUGCGUUCUCGUACGACAUAGGAAAUACUGAAUAACAGAUGGAUGGCCAGACGAAAUAAAAAACUAAAACAAAUUCUGAAAUGGUUCACUUUCGAUAAAAAAUCCUGAAAAUGACAGAUACAGUGUAUAUAUCACGUAUCACGAUAACACUGUUAAAACUGUAAACGUGUGUUGUUAAUAAUACAAAUUCAAGUUCUUCGUGUACAUAUUAUCAAUAUUUCUUUUUAUUACUUCAAAAAAAAAAUUGGUGCAGAAAAUUCAGGGGAGGCAACUGCCUCCCCUGCCUCAUAGGUAGUUACGGCCCU